UCUAAACGACUUUCGGCAACGGAUAUCUCGGCUCUCGCAUCGAUGAAGAACGUAGCGAAAUGCGAUACUUGGUGUGAAUUGCAGAAUCCCGUGAACCAUCGAGUCUUUGAACGCAAGUUGCGCCCGAAGCCUUCAGGCCGAGGGCACGCCUGCCUGGGCGUCAC
rnacentral:rRNA from 1 species